GACAGAGGUGCCAAGCGUUAGGCGGAAUCACUGGGCUUAAAGCGUGUGUAGGCGGAAUGGUAAGUACCUUGUGAAAUCCCACGGCUCAACCGUGGAACUGCUUGGUAUACUGCUUUUCUUGAGCCACUUAGGGGCAGCCGGAACAAACGGUGGAGCGGUGAAAUGCGUAGAUAUCGUUUGGAACGCCAAUGGUGAAAACAGGUUGCUGGGAGUGUGCUGACGCUGAGACACGAAAGCCAGGGGAGCAAACGGG
rnacentral:rRNA from 1 species